GAAAACAGUUUCGUACAUGGUCAAGACUUGAGGUGUUCACAUUUAUCAUCCACACAAACGAUAUGCAUUCUACAAAGUCACCGUACAUAGCAGUGAAUAGAGGCAACUCCCCUCCAAUAGAAACUGCUGACUAUCACCCAGUGCAGAUAUACACGCACAGUCGUCACACCGGAGUCGUGACGACCCAACCCGGAGCUGUUGUUGCCAAUGAAGCAGAGGAUCCCCCAGAUUACCUUUCGCUGGCAGCUUGCUCGGCCUGUUUCUGUUAGGUGUUAGGAAUUCUCGCAGUUAGUUAUUCCUUCAAGUCUAAAAAAUAUGCGAUGAGAGGGGACUAUGCAAGAGCUUCAGAGUCGGGCAAGUCAGCGAGAAUCACUGCAGUCGCGGCGAUUGUGAUUGGAUUGGUACUUACUGUCAUCAUGGUUGCGUUGAAACUCAUGCAGCAUUCGAAUUGUUCUCCUAAUUGUUAGACCCGUUGAUUGUUAAUUGGACAUAUUUGUUCCUUGUCCGUAACCAACAUCUUUGCCGUUUGACAAAUGUAAAAUUAUCAACGUAAAAUAAAAUAAAUAUUUCUUUAUCAGGCUGAAGUGAUGAUUUUGUUUCUUUGGAACUUGCAACAUGUUACUUCAAAAUGCUGUGUAUGCUUGACU
rnacentral:lncRNA from 1 species